CCCCUCUCAGGGCACCUGGAGAGUUUCCAGUCCUCUACCAGUCUCGGCUAUGGGAGGGAGAGUCGAGCAGAGCCAUACCCAUUCCAUUCCUAGCUUGGCCAGUGGCUAGCGAGUGGAAGGCCAUCUGCUACAAGU
rnacentral:snoRNA from 1 species